GGCGACCGGGUGAGUAAUGUAUCGGAACGUACCUUUCAGUGGGGGAUAACGUAGCGAAAGUUACGCUUAAUACCGCAUAUUCUGUGAGCAGGAAAGCAGGGGAUCGCAAGGCCUUGCGCUGAUUGAGCGGCCGAUAUCAGAUUAGCUAGUUGGUGAGGUAAAGGCUCACCAAGGCGACGAUCUGUAGCGGGUCUGAGAGGAUGAUCCGCCACACUGGAACUGAGACCCGGUCCAGACUCCUACGGGAGGCAGCAGUGGGGAAUUUUGGACAAUGGGGGCAACCCUGAUCCAGCCAUGCUGCGUGAGUGAAGAAGGCCUUCGGGUUGUAAAGCUCUUUCGUCCGGGAAGAAAUCGCAUCAGCUAAUACCUGGUGGGAUGACGGUACCGGC
rnacentral:rRNA from 1 species